UCAAGUUAUUAAGGGUGCAGGGCGGAUGCCUUGGCACUAGGAGCCGAUGAAGGACGUGAUAAGCUGCGAUAAGCUUCGGGGAGUUGCACGUAAACUUUGAUCCGAAGAUUUCCGAAUGAGGAAACUCACUUAGAGUAAUGUCUAAGUAUCAUUAAGUGAAUACAUAGCUUAAUGAGGGGAACUCAGGGAACUGAAACAUCUAAGUACUGAAGGAAGAGAAAGAAAUUCGAUUCCGUAAGUAGCGGGCGAGCGAACGCGGAUUAGCCCAAACCAAUAAAGUUUUCUUUAUUGGGUUGCGGACAUAUCAUAACGAAGAGGUAUCGUAAUUGAAGAGGUUUGGAAAGACCCACCACAGAAGGUAAUAGUCCUGUAUGUUAAACGAGAAGACUUCAGAUAUGAUCCAGAGUACCACGGGACACGUGAAACCCUGUGGGAAGCAGGAGGGACCACCCUCCAAGGCUAAAUACUACCUAGUGACCGAUAGCGUAUAGUACCGUGAGGGAAAGGUGAAAAGAACCCCGGGAGGGGAGUGAAAUAGAACCUGAAACCCUGCACUUACAAGCUGUGGAAGCACAUUUCUUGUGUGACCGCGUACUUUUUGUAGAACGGGCCAACGAGUUACGUUAAGUAGCAAGGUUAAGCACUUAAGGUGUGGAGCCGUAGCGAAAGCGAGUUUUAACUGAGCGUUCAGUUACUUGACGUAGACCCGAAACCGGGCGACCUACCCAUGAGCAGGAUGAAGCGAAAGUAAAAUUUCGUGGAGGUCCGAACCCACGAGCGUUGAAAAGCUCGGGGAUGACUUGUGGGUAGCGGUGAAAUUCCAAUCGAGCCCGGAGAUAGCUGGUUCUCCCCGAAAUAGCUUUAGGGCUAGCCUCAAGGUGAGAGAUACGGAGGUAGAGCACUGAAUGUCCUAGGGGGUAUUGCACCUACCGAAGACUAUCAAACUCCGAAUGCCGUCAUCUUAUACUUGGGAGUCAGACUGUGGGUGAUAAGAUUCAUAGUCGAAAGGGCAACAGCCCAGAUCGUCAGCUAAGGUCCCUAAAUGUAAGUUAAGUGGUAAAGGAUGUGGGAUUGCACAGACAACCAGGAUGUUGGCUUAGAAGCAGCCACUCAUUCAAAGAGUGCGUAAUAGCUCACUGGUCGAGUGAUCCUGCGCCGAAGAUUUCCGGGGCUAAAACUUACUACCGAAGCUACGGCAUCAGUAAUGAUGGGUAGGGGAGCUUCCCAUACGGGUUGAAGCAUGACCGUAAGGACAUGUGGACAGUAUGGGAGUGAGAAUGUUGGCAUGAGUAGCGAGAUGUGGGUGAGAAUCCCACAGGCCGUAAACCCAAGGUUUCCAGGGGAAGGUUCGUCCGCCCUGGGUUAGUCGGGACCUAAGCUGAGGCCGAAAGGCGUAGGUGAUGGACAACAGGUUGAUAUUCCUGUACUACCGAUAACCGUUUGAGAGAAGGGAUGACACAGUAGGAUAAGCUAAGCACACUGUUGGUUAUGUGUGCCCAAGCAUUGAGGCAGUCAAAGUAGGCAAAUCCGCUUUGAUAAUGCUGGGAUGUGAUGGGAGCGAAAUUUAGUAGCGAAGUAGCUGAUUUCACACUGUCAAGAAAAGUCUCUAUCGAGGUUAAAGGUACCCGUACCGCAAACCGACACAGGUGGGUGAGGAGAGUAUCCUAAGGCCAGCGAGAGAACUGUUGUUAAGGAACUCGGCAAAAUGACCCCGUAACUUAGGGAUAAGGGGUGCCACCAUCAGGUGGCCGCAGAGAAUAGGCCCAAGCGACUGUUUACCAAAAACAUAGGUUUCUGCUAAGUCGCAAGACGAUGUAUAGGAGCUGACGCCUGCCCGGUGCUGGAAGGUUAAGGGGAUCUGUUAGAGCAAUCGAAGCAGUGAACUUAAGCCCCAGUAAACGGCGGCCGUAACUAUAACGGUCCUAAGGUAGCGAAAUUCCUUGUCGGGUAAGUUCCGACCCGCACGAAAGGCGUAACGAUUUGGGCACUGUCUCAACAACAGACUCGGUGAAAUUGUAAUUCCGGUGAAGAUGCCGGAUACCUGCGACAGGACGGAAAGACCCCAUGGAGCUUUACUGUAGCUUGACAUUGGGUUUUGGUACUACAUGUACAGGAUAGGUGGGAGGCUUUGAAACCAGGACGCCAGUUUUGGCGGAGCCAUCCUUGGGAUACCACCCUUGUAGUACUGGGACUCUAACCAUAGGCCAUGAAUCUGGUCUUGGGACACUGUCAGGUGGGCAGUUUGACUGGGGCGGUCGCCUCCAAAAGGUAACGGAGGCGCUCAAAGGUUCUCUCAGUACGGUCGGAAAUCGUACGUAGAGUGUAAAGGCAAAAGAGAGCUUGAUUGCAAGACAUACAGGUCGAGCAAGGAUGAAAAUCGGACUUAGUGAUCCGGUGGUUCUGCGUGGAAGGGCCAUCGCUCAACGGAUAAA
rnacentral:rRNA from 1 species